rnacentral:tRNA from 1 species
GGUUGUGGCUCAGCGGUAGAGUGCUUGCCUUGCACAUGUGAGGUCCUGGGUUCGAUCCUCAGAACCA